AGUGAACGCUGGCGGUAGGCCUAACACAUGCAAGUCGAACGGCAGCACAGUAAGAGCUUGCUCUUACGGGUGGCGAGUGGCGGACGGGUGAGGAAUACAUCGGAAUCUACUUUUUCGUGGGGGAUAACGUAGGGAAACUUACGCUAAUACCGCAUACGCCCUACGGGUGAAAGCAGGGGAUCUUCGGACCUUGCGCGAUUGAAUGAGCCGAUGUCGGAUUAGCUAGUUGGCGGGGUAAAGGCCCACCAAGGCGACGAUCCGUAGCUGGUCUGAGAGGAUGAUCAGCCACACUGGAACUGAGACACGGUCCAGACUCCUAAGGGAGGCAGCAGUGGGGAAUAUUGGACAAUGGGCGCAAGCCUGAUCCAGCCAUACCGCGUGGGUGAAGAAGGCCUUCGGGUUGUAAAGCCCUUUUGUUGGGAAAGAAAAGCAGCAGGUUAAUACCCCGCUGUUCUGACGGUACCCAAAGAAUAAGCACCGGCUAACUUCGUG
rnacentral:rRNA from 1 species